rnacentral:rRNA from 1 species
UGAGGAAUAUUGGGUCAAUGGGCGAGAGCCUGAACCAGCCAAGUAGCGUGCAGGAUGACGGCCCUAUGGGUUGUAAACUGCUUUUAUAAGGGAAUAAAGUGAGCCUCGUGAGGCUUUUUGCAUGUACCUUAUGAAUAAGGACCGGCUAAUUCCGUGCCAGCAGCCGCGGUAAUACGGAAGGUCCGGGCGUUAUCCGGAUUUAUUGGGUUUAAAGGGAGCGUAGGCCGGAGAUUAAGCGUGUUGUGAAAUGUAGAUGCUCAACAUCUGCACUGCAGCGCGAACUGGUCUCC